CCAAAAGCUGGCGACCGGCGCACGGGUGAGUAACACGUAUCCAACCUGCCUCAUACUCGGGGAUAGCCUUUCGAAAGAAAGAUUAAUAUCCGAUAGCAUAUAUUUCCCGCAUGGGUUUUAUAUUAAAGAAAUUCGGUAUGAGAUGGGGAUGCGUUCCAUUAGUUUGUUGGGGGGUAACGGCCCACCAAGACUACGAUGGAUAGGGGUUCUGAGAGGAAGGUCCUCCACAUUGGAACUGAGACACGGUCCAA
rnacentral:rRNA from 1 species